UAUAAUCGCCAACGUUAUUUUUUUUUGUUGCUGAGGUGGAUUCUAUUUUUUACCUGUCAAGCGAGAUUGCGACGAGGGAAUCGAUUGAAGCCACAACUGAAACUCCUUAACUUUUUUACAACUAAUGGCGAAAUAUCUUACCAACUUGCACAUGGUCUCUCCCUAGGAUCCAAGCUGUGACAUGUUUAGCACAAAGGAUUGCGUAGCUGCGUCACCAAGAAACAUUAUCCCUGCAUCGCGGUAUACAACUAACUAGCCCAGCGGUCCACACCGUAACAGCCUUCGAGAAGUCUAAAUUGCCAUACGCUCAAUAUAACAAGGGCCACUGGAGAUCGUCGUCAUGGUAGUGUAUUAAAUGCUGGAUUCCACGAAGAUCUGAUGGCUACGCAGGGUCUGCAUUUCUUCUUUAGGGAGGGGGUUAGGAAACGAUUUU